rnacentral:lncRNA from 10 species
AGAGAGAGAGGCAGGCUGGGUCCGCCUGGCAGCCUACGGGAGGAGGCGGGAGCCGGGAAGGAGGGGAGCCUAGGCCCGGCGUGGGGAGGCCGGCAGGAAGGGCCUCGAGCCCAGUGCGGACCUUUCUUCAGCCUCUGUGCGACCGAGCCGCGCGCCAGGCUCCUGUGCGAGGAGGACGCGCUGACUCCCUCCGACCUGGGCUCCGAUGGAGCAGAAAUAGCGGGACCUGGACUUGUGGCGCGCCUGGUGCCACAUCUCGGGCUCUGCGAGCGUCCUGGCGCGGGAUCCUGCCGUUUGCAUCCAAGAGAGGGGAGGACAGGGGCAAAAGGAUGCAGGGAGGCUGCUGAUUUCCACUGAAGAGCUAAUUUCCUGUGAGACAUUAACAGUGAUUUAAGAAAAAGAUUCCUGUAACUGGUAAGGAAACUGAGGUAUACAAGGAUGAACUUUUGCAAGGCUACAAAUCUUGUUAAUAGUGAAGCUAACGUUCAGACCCAAGUGGUUCGGCUCUAGACUUUGUCUCAGUUACUGAAUUGAACUCUCUGUGCACUUACGAUGUGUCAUACCAGUUCUCACUACAUAGUGUCCCAAAAGAUUGGGCCUGCUCUUUCUUUCAGAGACAAUUAGGAAAAAAGUAAACAAACGGAGCAGGAUUUGGGCAUAACAGCAUGCUCCUCCCAUCCCCCAAAUCCCAGGAGUGUCACUGAGUAAUGUCUUACAAUAACAGAAUGCAGGAGAGCACAUAUCAAUGAAGAAAAGACAAAAUGUACUUAUCCAUGAAGCUGAGGUUAAGAAACCAGUGUCUUCAAGAGCCAGGGACAGCACUGGGUCUGUGCAGAGUUGAGAGAUGGUGAUGACAUGUGGUUUCCAGCAUUCCUCACCCAGUCCAGGGACACUGUGGGUGUGCCCAGCUUAAGUCCAGUAACUGGAAAUACAAGCCCAAGUUCUGGAGAGUUUGAGCUGCAGAGAUAUAUAUGGGAACACUUUGAAUCUUGACUCAUUGGCCAUAACCAGCAGAGUGGAAAAUACAAGAAGAGAAAAAAACAUUGAACUGCGAUUUUAUAACAUCCUUUACUAGGCAGAGAGAAGAGGAAACACCAGGAAAGAAAACUGUAUUACGAUGUGAAAACUUAAUGUUGAGAAAUUCAGGCAUCUUGGGGUUAGUGAGGAGAAGUUUUAGGGGCUUAGAUUCUUCUAAACACAUGUACAGAAAUGCAUAUUUCAUCUGAUAUCAAAUGGCAUUUAUAGUGCUAAUCUUUACCUCAAGACUUCACAUCUUUUGGUGAUUGCAUCUUUUAGGUUUAUAGCAGCUAAGUUUGCAUGAAAACACCAGGGCUGUUUCAUUUCAGUCAAGAAUUAAUGUUCAUUGAUUGUGCUUCUGCAUUUCAUGUAACUAUUGUAGAAUUUGUUUUAGUUUUAUGAGGGAAUAAUUGUUCCAACUUCUAUAUAACUCAGGAAUUUACUCUCAAACAACACUGUCAAUUAGUUACUUAUCUCUCUGGAAAUGAUCUGGGAACAUGGAGAGGAAAGGGAGGAAGGGGCAAAAUCUGACCACUUAAAUCUAAGCAUAUUAGAUCAUUUUAUGCUAGAAAGUCCUGAAUGAUGUGACUUUCGUUCUUGUAAAACACCUCUUUCCAUAGAUUCAUGGCCCAAACAGUAUAUAAAGAGUGGGGAAGGAACUGCAUUUGCAAAUAGUUCAAAUCAUUGCUCCAUCUUAACUACGCAGUUCACAAAGUGUGAAGAAAUGUGAUCAUCUCAAAAAAGAUAAUGGGGAAAAAAUAUGUUUUGUUCUGUGACUUUAAAGUCUUGCAAUAUUUUACAUAAAUGAUAAUGGGUGCUUUAAUAAGAACUCUUGAUACUUUUGUUAUUGUAUUCAAUAUAUGCAUAUAAUACAACAGGAUGAUAUUGUUUUGGAUUUGGAAAUGUAUUCUUUCUUAUGCAAUCUUAUGCAGUCAUACUGCUUGAAUAUCAUUACCUGAAUUUAUCUUUCUUUUUUUUGUUGUUGUUUUACACUCUACUUAUUUGGUGCCUGUCAGUCUUUUGUCGUCAGUUUAUAUUCUACUAAACUCAAAAAGACAAUCUCAUACCUUUUGUAAUUGUAGGCAUUCUUUACUAGAUUUUUAAAUACACUUCAAAAAUUCAAGUACUUUGAUUUCAUGCCAUCAAGUAGCUGAAUCUAUCCCCCCGUCUCUUUUUAAAUUUAAGUGAGUAGUUCAAUUUCUGUCACUUUCUACUUUGUGAAUUCUAAAUCUUUUAAAACCAUCUUGCCAUUUUUCGUGCACUUACCCUUACAGAAAACUCUGUGAAACACUACUUAUCUCUACUUUUAUGUUUUUAACUCCUUUUUUAUAUUACUAUUCCCUCUGCUUUCUAAAUGCACAUAUUAAUUUGUUCUUUUUAUUCUCUGUAGCUCUUCUCAGUGUAUGAAUUCAGUUUCCCAUCAGUCUCCAUACAAUUAAAAAAAAGUUGAGUAUUCUGUUAUUUUAAUAAGAUAUCUAGUGCCCAUAUUCUAAUUCUGCCCCUUAUUUUUAAUAUAAUUUUAUUGUUGAUUUAAAAUGACAACAGUUUCAAUUCCCAGAAAGUGAAAGGAAACAAAGGAAUAAUAUUAUAGGCUUAAUUUUUAUCAGUGAACUUGUAGGUGAAGAAAAGAUUUGGGGAAGGAAAUGAACAUAUUAUAUUGCAAAAUAGUAAGGAACAAUCAGAUGUGUUUUCUAGUCUCUGGAAAAGCAUGUUUCAAGAAAUUCAAUGAAAAGUUCAUCAUGCUUGCUUAGAUUGUUGAGAAGCAAAAACACUGAUGAACAUUUGGAAGCAAUGAGAAUGUAAUUCUAAUCAUACUCUUUUAAUAAUGUUGCAAAACUCUCCAAACACUACUCUGUGUGGAUGUCUUUCAGAAUAUGAUGAAUACUAGUAGUCUUAUUCUGCCCUUUUCUCUCUAUCACAAUAUAUACAUUCUAUAUUGCAUACACAUAUUUUCCAAAUAUUACAUAUAAUUUCAUGUAAUUUAUAGACCUAUUAAGGCCCAACCAUUUUCUUGGAUAGGGGAUUCUUUAGAAGUCCAGCUUAAAUAAAGCCCGUAUAGAAAGUUUUUUUAAAAUUUAUACAUAAUCACCUAAAGUAACCUUAUCUACUGAACUCUUAGUACAUGCUACUGGAACCUUUUAUCAUGUUUCUUCCUGGCUUGCAUUACAACACUGUUGACAUAUCUCAGCCUUACUUCUAGGCUUCUUUGAGAGCAUGACUCAUGUUUGUAUUCCUCACUGAGGUUGAAUGAAUAAGAGAAACUACAGUAGUAGGAAAAAACAGUACAUGUACAUAUCAAUGAAUAUGAAAGGGUCAAAUGGAUCUAUUAUAGUAAGCACAAAAUCAACUGACACCAGCAAAGUAAACCCAAAAUUUUUAAUGGUAUUUUAAUAGAUCAAGAGGAGCAAGCAGAUUUUUGAGACAGUUGUCUCCUACUUUCUCUAUCACAGGGAGUAAUUUUAAAAGAAAAAUGGAGGGUAAGUUUCUUUAAGAGAAAAUUGUAGUUUAAAACAGGUCAUGGGAUAAUUAGAAAUAAUUUAAUUUCUUUAGAGGAUUUUAAUCUUUCAACUGCUUGCAAUUAGAUCCUAAGGCAAUAAAAGAAUAAGGAGAUUUGGAAAACCAUUGUCUGUAAUCUCUGAAGAAAAGUGGACAUUAGGGGAGUCAGUUGAAAAGCAAAGCUAUCACCAUUUUCUAAAGAGGAAAAAGGUGAACCUCACAAACUAUAGACCAAAAAAAUAGGACAUCGAGAGAAAGAAUAUGAAGCUAGCAUAGGUUCACAAAGAAUGAGUCAAAUCAAACAACAUGCAUUUUUUAUUUAUAAAGCAUGACUUGUUCAUUGUCAAUUCAUGUUAGCUUAAUCAUUAGGCAUUAAUGCCAUCACUGCAAUGCAUAUGUCAGCAAUAAAUAAUCAAAGACCAGGCUUCCAUCAUUCUGUUUAAUAUCUUCAAGUAAUGCUUAAGUUUGCAAAUGCUCUUUUAACACAUUCUCCAUAUGCAGCCUGCCCAGCACUGCACACAAUAGACCUGUUACUUCCCCCUCACGAGCACUCCUAAUAUUUCAUGUGCUCAUCCAAUUGACUUCUCCCACUGGUGCCUCAUAUUGAAUUUGUAGAAUCACACCUGCUCCUUUUUCAAAACUCUUCUGAGUUUUUUCUUAAAUAAUUCACUGACCCCAAAGUUGUCAGAUAUUUGAAGACUACUCGCACAAUUUUAAUAUUAUAAAUGUAUAAUGUAAAUGUAAUUAAGAUUUGUAUAAUGUACGAUGUACUUUGGUAAAUAAAAGUAUGCUGUGAAUAAAUACGUAUGAUACAAUUCAAAAUUUUACAUAAAUAUGUGAUAAAAUUUAGCUCAUAUUCUUUUUUUUUUUCUUUGAGACGGAGUCUCACUCUGUUGCACCCAGGCUAGAGUGCAGCAGCAUGAUCUCAGCUCACUGCAACCUCUACCUCCUGGGUUCAAACAAUUCUCCUGCCUCAGCCUCCUGAGUAGCUGGGAUUACAGGUGCCCGCCACCAUGCCCAGCUAAUUUUUUUCUAUUUUUGUUGUUGUUGUUGUUUUUAGUAGAGACGGGGUUUCACCAUGUUGGUCAGGCUGGUCUUGAACUCCUGACCUCAGAUAAUCCACCUGCCUCGGCCUCCCAAAGUUCUGGGAUUACAGACGUGAACCACGGUGCCCGGCCUAGUUCAUGUUCUUUAAGGACAAUUAUGAAUAUUUUUAUGCACUGUUAAUUUUCAUUAAGAUAUUGAUCAAUUAAUAGCUAUAUAUGUUCUAUAAAUUAAUCCUAUCUAGUUUCAAUCUUAAAUUGUUUGCAUAUACCAAUCUAGUUUAUUGUUUGCAUAUAUUUUAUAGUGUAGAGAUUAGGCAUUUUAAUAAAAUUUUAAAAUUUCCAGGACAUACUGUUAAUGACUAUGCUUCCUACUAUAGGCCAUAAUUAAUUUUUUUCUAUUGUCAACAAUAUUUUGGUAGGGAUGAUCAGGAAAUAAGGAAAUGUUUCCUUCAUUUGUUAACAAUAGGUGUUUGGGGAUUUUAAAAUGAAAAUUGAAGAAGUAAAAGACACCAUAUAUUUAGUUUGUUUGAUUUCGUGGCUUCAAGAGUUCAAUAAUUUAUUGAAAUAUUUUACAGACCAAAGAACAACAGAUAUAUUACGUUUAUAAGCCCCCACAUAUUUUAAAGGAUAAUGGUUUAUAUAUGAAAAUUCCCUGAACCUACACUUCAUCAGGAAAAGCUAAAUAAAAGAAGUUUACAUUUCCUAGGACUAAUGGAGAUUUAUUUCCCAGUCCUCUUCUCUGGAGACAAAUGUAGGUCUCUCUUGAAAAGCAGAAAGUUUUGCAUAUGAGGUAUGAUUUAGUGGGCUAGAAACAUCUUUUCCACCCUCCCCAAAAUGUUUCACUAUGUUUUAUCAUACUAUCUGAUAAUUUUGCACUAAAGUUUUCUUUCUGUGUUAAGAAAAUGCAAAUAUCUCUGAAUGGGUCUCUUUGCUUUAGUCAUACUCAUAUGGCUACUACUGAACAAAAUAUGUUCAUUACAGGAUGAAGGGAAUGUUGCCAGCCAGCAAAUCCCUAGAGUUUGCACUACACCAAACGUUGCUUAGCAAUUUCCACGAUUUUCUCAGUCUAAUUUGCAAGAAUCAAGGAGAUGUUUGUGUAUGCUACAUGAAGUUGUAAAAUUGGUAUUUAUUGUAUGUUUCUAUAUCGAAAGCUUUACAAACAAAGGAAAUGGAAAGUUAACAGGUGGAUAUGAUAGUGUGGCACUACUUUAGCUGGAUGGUAAGGGAGAGCUUCUCUUAGGAAGUGUUUUAGGCCAGGACUUGAAUAAUGAACAGUAUCUAGUUGUACAAAAAUCUGGAGGAAAGACUUUUCAGGCCCAGGAGAAAUGAAAAUUCUUUUCAUGCAUACAAGAAUGAAAGUGAAAAUUACCUACUCUAUGUCCUGAAGUGGGAAGUUGGCUUGCCAGAGAGUAGGUAAUUUUCACUUUGAUUCUUUCAUGCCUUCAGUUAUACUACUUCUUAGGUUAGUUCAUAAGGGUUUCCACAAUUUGGUUCCCACUUAAAAUUUAAAACUUCCCUAACCCAUUCCCACCAUAUAUUGUGCUAAUCCAUGCAUAUGUGACUUUGCGUAUGCUGUUUUCAUUGUUUAAUAUUCUUCUCAUGCAUUCGUUCUUUCCUGAUAACGAACUCAUCUUUGAAACUCCCCUUCAAGCAUCCUCUACUUUAGGAGGCCGCUUCUCACUGUCUCCUGCCUACCACCCAUUGAAUUGUUCAAUUUUUAAGCUGCCAUUGUCUUGUGCAGUUGACACAUUUCUUUGCAAUUACUGAUUUACAUGUCUGCUUUUAUCACUGGUGAGGUUCUUUAGGACAGAGACAUUAUUAAUUCAUCUCUGGGCACAUAUGUUCCAACAUAUUAGAAGUACUACAGAGUGCUAUUACUAUGUAGUAUGUAGUAUUAGUAGUAGUUACUCACAAAUCAUUUUUAAAUAAGUGAUUAUAAUAUCUUUUUGUUAUUAUGAUUUAACACAAGAUGGAAUUUA